AUUGAACGCUGGCGGAAUGCUUUACACAUGCAAGUCGAACGGCAGCACGGACUUCGGUCUGGUGGCGAGUGGCGAACGGGUGAGUAACAUAUCGGAACGUAUCCAAUAAUGGGGGAUAACUAAUCGAAAGGUUGGCUAAUACCGCAUACGCCCUACGGGGGAAAGCAGGGGAUCUUCGGACCUUGCGUUAAUGGAGCGGCUGAUAUCUGAUUAGCUAGUUGGUGAGGUAAAGGCUCACCAAGGCGACGAUCAGUAGCUGGUCUGAGAGGACGACCAGCCACACUGGACCUGAGACACGGUACAGACUCCUUCGGGAGGCAGCAGUGGGGAAUUUUGGACAAUGGGCGCAAGCCUGAUCCACCCAUUCCGCGUGAGUGAAGAAGGCCUUCGGGUUGUAAAGCUCUUUCGCAAGGGAAGAAAACUUACUUUCUAAUAAAGAGUGAGGUUGACGGUACCUUGAUAAGAAGCACCGGCUAACUACGUGCCAGCCGCCGCCGUAA
rnacentral:rRNA from 1 species